UUAGCUCAGUGGUCGAGCUUUGGCUUUGGAAGCCACAGGUCGGAGGUUCGAUUCCACCCCGACGCAG
rnacentral:tRNA from 1 species